UACGGGGGGGGGCAAGCGUUGUUCGGAAUUACUGGGCGUAAAGGGCUCGUAGGUGGCCAACUAAGUCGGACGUGAAAUCCCUCGGCUUAACCGGGGAACUGCGUCUGAUACUGGAUGGCUUGAGUUCGGGAGAGGGAUGCGGAAUUCCAGGUGUAGCGGUGAAAUGCGUAGAUAUCGGGAGGAACAUCAGUGGCGAAGGCGGCCCUCUGGUCCAGUACUGACACUCAAGUGCGAAAGCGUGGGGAGCAAACAGG
rnacentral:rRNA from 1 species